rnacentral:lncRNA from 1 species
CUGCGCCCGGCCUACUUUUAGUUUAUGCAGUAUUCUGGCGAUUUAAAGUUUGUAUUUUUUUUUUAAUUUUCUGAGCUCGUUUUGUAAAUGGCUGCUCUUGAACGUAAGGAUAAAUUGACUGAUGAGGCUGAGGUUUGGAGCCAAUCCCCGCACAAGGCAUUUGGCAUCAAACACGAGAAACCCUUGGCUAUUCAAAUGAGGAAACUCAAGUAACUUUCCCAGGGUCACUAAAGUCGGAGACCUCAAACGUGGACCCAGGUCAGGCUCCAGAGGUCCACCAGGACGACCCAUCAUGGCUCAUGAAUGUAUCCGUAAAAAUGGCAGAACUGCUCUUUCCAGCUGCCUUCCUACCUAUCAUGGGGGUCCUAACCGAGCUCCCCAUCAUGACAUUCAAGGCCUACCUUAUAGGAUCCCUGCCUUACAGGAGCAGUUUCAGUGCAGCAGGCACACUGACCACCUUUCUGCCAAGACCUUUUUGCCAGAGGGCCUUUGCACUUGAAUUUCUUUAGACUUUUCGCCUGGCUUAGCUCGUCUGUCACCUUGGGGAGGCAUUUUUCUUUCUUUCUUUGUUUCUUUCUCCUUUUUUUUUUUUUGAAACGGAGUCUUGCCCUGUCGCCCAGGCUGGAGUGCAAUGGUGCGAUUUCAGCUCACUGCAACCUCCGCCUUCCAGGUUUAAGCGAUUCUCCUGCCUCAGCCUCCUGAGUAGCUGUGAUUACAGGCACGUGCCACCAACCCUGGCUAAUUUUUGUAUUUUUAGUAGAGAUGGGGUUUCACGAUGUUGGCCAGGCUGGUCUCAAACUCCUUCACCUCAGCUUACAGAUGUGAGCUGCUGGACACAGGGGCCUUUUCGGUGUUUUUUCUGAACUGUAUCUUCAGGGCACAAGGUGAGUGCUCAACAAAUCGUUGAUGAACAAAUGAACAGGUACAUUUGCUGUGACCAAAUGGACUAACCAAACUGUCCUUCCCUUUGGAUUCUGCCACAAUUGUAUAGACAUACCUAUAAGUAAGAAAGUUGGGAGAAUAGCUAUUUUGUUUUUAAAUAUUUUGUGUUUCUUUGAUUCGUGUACUUUAUUU